AUUGAACGCUGGCGGCAGGCCUAACACAUGCAAGUCGAACGGUAACAGGAAGAAGCUUGCCUCUUUGCUGACGCGUGGCGGACGGGUGUGAAAUGUCUGGGAAACUGCCUGAUGGAGGGGGAUAACUACUGGAAACAGUAGCGAUAACCGCAUAACGUCGCAAGACCAAAGAGGGGGACCUCCGGGCCCCUUGCCAUCGGAUAUGCCCAGAUGGGAUUAGCUAGUAGGUGGGGUAACGGCCCACCCAGGCGACGAUCCCUAGCUGGUCUGUGAGGAUGACCAGCCACACUGGAACUGAGACACGGUCCAGACUCCUACGGGAGGCAGCAGUGGGGAAUAUUGGACAAUGGGCGCAAGCCUGAUGCAGCCAUGCCGCGUGGAUGAAGAAGGCCUUCGGGUUGUAAAGUACUUUCGGCGGGGAGGAAGGGAGUAAGGUUAAUACCUUUGCUUAUUGACGUUACCCACAGAAGAAGCACCGGCUAACUCCGUG
rnacentral:rRNA from 1 species